rnacentral:tRNA from 2 species
UGGCCUAUGGUGUAAUUGGCAACACGGCUGAUUCUGGUUCAGUUGUUCUAGGUUCGAGUCCUGGUAGGCCAG